rnacentral:tRNA from 1 species
GCCGGCCGGUAUGGCGGCGGCCGCCACCGCCCUGGACGGUGGGCUGCGGGUCGCCCUCGUCGACGCGGGAUCCGCUCCCGGCGGCCAGUUC